GAGUUUGAUCAUGGCUCAGAUUGAACGCUGGCGGCAGGCCUAACACAUGCAAGUCGAACGGUAACAGGAAACAGCUUGCUGUUUCGCUGACGAGUGGCGGACGGGUGAGUAAUGUCUGGGAAACUGCCUGAUGGAGGGGGAUAACUACUGGAAACGGUAGCUAAUACCGCAUAACGUCGCAAGACCAAAGAGGGGGACCCUCGGGCCUCUUGCCAUCGGAUGUGCCCAGAUGGGAUUAGCUUGUUGGUGGGGUAACGGCUCACCAAGGCGACGAUCCCUAGCUGGUCUGAGAGGAUGACCAGCCACACUGGAACUGAGACACGGUCCAGACUCCUACGGGAGGCAGCAGUGGGGAAUAUUGCACAAUGGGCGCAAGCCUGAUGCAGCCAUGCCGCGUGUAUGAAGAAGGCCUUCGGGUUGUAAAGUACUUUCAGCGGGGAGGAAGGGAGUAAAGUUAAUACCUUUGCUCAUUGACGUUACCCGCAGAAGAAGCACCGGCUAACUCCGUGCCAGCAGCCGCGGUAAUACGGAGGGUGCAAGCGUUAAUCGGAAUUACUGGGCGUAAAGCGCACGCAGGCGGUUUGUUAAGUCAGAUGUGAAAUCCCCGGGCUCAACCUGGGAACUGCAUCUGAUACUGGCAAGCUUGAGUCUCGUAGAGGGGGGUAGAAUUCCAGGUGUAGCGGUGAAAUGCGUAGAGAUCUGGAGGAAUACCGGUGGCGAAGGCGGCCCCCUGGACGAAGACUGACGCUCAGGUGCGAAAGCGUGGGGAGCAAACAGGAUUAGAUACCCUGGUAGUCCACGCCGUAAACGAUGUCGACUUGGAGGUUGUGCCCUUGAGGCGUGGCUUCCGGAGCUAACGCGUUAAGUCGACCGCCUGGGGAGUACGGCCGCAAGGUUAAAACUCAAAUGAAUUGACGGGGGCCCGCACAAGCGGUGGAGCAUGUGGUUUAAUUCGAUGCAACGCGAAGAACCUUACCUGGUCUUGACAUCCACGGAAGUUUUCAGAGAUGAGAAUGUGCCUUCGGGAACCGUGAGACAGGUGCUGCAUGGCUGUCGUCAGCUCGUGUUGUGAAAUGUUGGGUUAAGUCCCGCAACGAGCGCAACCCUUAUCCUUUGUUGCCAGCGGUCCGGCCGGGAACUCAAAGGAGACUGCCAGUGAUAAACUGGAGGAAGGUGGGGAUGACGUCAAGUCAUCAUGGCCCUUACGACCAGGGCUACACACGUGCUACAAUGGCGCAUACAAAGAGAAGCGACCUCGCGAGAGCAAGCGGACCUCAUAAAGUGCGUCGUAGUCCGGAUUGGAGUCUGCAACUCGACUCCAUGAAGUCGGAAUCGCUAGUAAUCGUGGAUCAGAAUGCCACGGUGAAUACGUUCCCGGGCCUUGUACACACCGCCCGUCACACCAUGGGAGUGGGUUGC
rnacentral:rRNA from 1 species